GGGAGCCCAUGACGGUACCUUAAGAGAAAGCCCCGGCUAACUACGUGCCAGCAGCCGCGGUAAUACGUAGGUGGCAAGCGUUGUUCGGAAUUAUUGUGCUUAAAGGGGGCGCAGGCGGUUCUUUAAGUCUGGCGUGAAAGCCCCGGGCUCAACCUGGGAAUUGCGCUGGAGACUGCGGAUCUGGAGUGCGGNAGAGGNGGANGGAAUUCCNNGUGUAGCNGUGAAAUGCGUAGAUAUGCGGAGGAACACCGAUGGCGAAGGCAAUCCCCUGGGCCUGCACUGACACUCAGGCACGAAAGCGUGGGGGAGCAAACAGGAUUAGAUAC
rnacentral:rRNA from 1 species